rnacentral:rRNA from 1 species
AGUGAACGCUGGCGGUAGGCCUAACACAUGCAAGUCGAACGGCAGCACAGUAAGAGCUUGCUCUUACGGGUGGCGAGUGGCGGACGGGUGAGGAAUACAUCGGAAUCUACUUUUUCGUGGGGGAUAACGUAGGGAAACUUACGCUAAUACCGCAUACGACCUACGGGUGAAAGCAGGGGAUCUUCGGACCUUGCGCGAUUGAAUGAGCCGAUGUCGGAUUAGUUAGUUGGCGGGGUAAAGGCCCACCAAGGCGACGAUCCGUAGCUGGUCUGAGAGGAUGAUCAGCCACACUGGAACUGAGACACGGUCCAGACUCCUACGGGAGGCAGCAGUGGGGAAUAUUGGACAAUGGGCGCAAGCCUGAUCCAGUCAUACCGCGUGGGUGAAGAAGGCCUUCGGGUUGUAAAGCCCUUUUGUUGGGAAAGAAAAGCAGCAGGUUAAUACCCCGCUGUUCUGACGGUACCCAAAGAAUAAGCACCGGCUAACUUCGUG